rnacentral:rRNA from 1 species
UGAGAAUCCCACAGGCCGUAAACCCAAGGUUUCCAGGGGAAGGUUCGUCCGCCCUGGGUUAGUCGGGACCUAAGCUGAGGCCGAAAGGCGUAGGUGAUGGACAACAGGUUGAUAUUCCUGUACUACCGAUAACCGUUUGAGAGAUGGGAUGACACAGUAGGAUAAGCUAAGCACACUGUUGGUUAUGUGUGCCCAAGCAUUGAGGCAGUCAGAGUAGGUAAAUCCGCUUUGAUAAUGCUGGGAUGUGAUGGGGAGCGAAAUUUAGUAGCGAAGUAGCUGAUUUCACACUGUCAAGAAAAGUCUCUAUCGAGGUUAAAGGUACCCGUACCGCAAACCGACACAGGUGGGUGAGGAGAGUAUCCUAAGGCCCGCGAGAGAACUGUUGUUAAGGAACUCGGCAAAAUGACCCCGUAACUUAGGGAUAAGGGGUGCCACCAUC